UACGAAGGGGGCUAGCGUUGCUCGGAAUCACUGGGCGUAAAGGGUGCGUAGGCGGGUCUUUUAAGUCAGGGGUGAAAUCCUGGAGCUCAACUCCAGAACUGCCUUUGAUACUGAGGAUCUUGAGUUCGGGAGAGGUGAGUGGAACUGCGAGUGUAGAGGUGAAAUUCGUAGAUAUUCGCAAGAACACCAGUGGCGAAAGCGGCUCACUGGACCACAACUGACGCUGAGGCGCGAAAGCGUGGGGAGCGAACAGG
rnacentral:rRNA from 1 species